GCGGAGGGCCGGAUGGCCGCGGCACCCCGCAAGGGGCGUCGAGGAAAGUCCGGACUCCACAAGACAACGGUGCCGGGUAACGCCCGGCCGGGGCAACCCGAGGGAAAGCGCCACAGAAAACAGACAGCCCCGGAGCUGUGUCAAGGGUUCGCCUUUGGCGAAGCGCCAGGGUCAAGGUGAAACGGUGGGGUAAGAGCCCACCGCGGGACGGGCAACCGGACCGGCACGGCAAGCCCCACCGGGAGCAAUGCCAAAUAGGGACCGCACGCGGGGACCGGUCGGGCAACCGAAACCGCCCGCAGGCACGUCUUGGCCCGGCGGUCCGGGUUGGCAGCUUGAGGCGCGCGGGCAAUCGCGCGUCCAGAUGAAUGGUCAUCCAAGGGGGCAACCCCUGGACAGAAUCCGGCUUACAGGCCCUCCGCGCAC
rnacentral:RNase_P_RNA from 2 species